AAACGACUGCUUAAUACCGCAUACGAUCUAAUUUCGGCAUCGAGGAUAGAUGAAAGGUGGCCUCUACAUGUAAGCCAUCACUGAAGGAGGGGAUUGCGUCUGAUUAGCUAGUUGGAGGGGUAACGGCCCACCAAGGCGAUGAUCAGUAGCCGGUCUGAGAGGAUGAACGGCCACAUUGGGACUGAGACACGGCCCAGACUCCUACGGGAGGCAGCAGUGGGGAAUCUUCCGCAAUGGACGAAAGUCUGACGGAGCAACGCCGCUGUGAGUGAUGACCGGCUUCGGGUUGUAAAGCUCUGUUAAUCGGGACGAAAGGCCUUCUGCGAAUAUUGAGAAGGAUUGACGUACCGGAAUAGAAAAC
rnacentral:rRNA from 1 species